rnacentral:rRNA from 1 species
UCACGCUGGCGGCGCGCUUAACACAUGCAAGUCGAACGAGAAAGUCCGCAAGGAUGAGUAAAGUGGCGUACGGGUGAGUAACACGUGGAUAAUCCACCUCUUAGUGGGGAGUAACUCUGGGAAACCGGAGCUAAUACCGCAUGAGCCUGGAAAGGGAAAGCAGCAAUGCGCUGAGAGAGGAGUCCGCGGCCGAUUAGCUAGUUGGUAGGGUAAUGGCCUACCAAGGCGAUGAUCGGUAGCCGGCCUGAGAGGGCACACGGCCACACUGGCACUGAAACACGGGCCAGACUCCUACGGGAGGCAGCAGUGGGGAAUCUUGCACAAUGGGCGAAAGCCUGAUGCAGCGACGCCGCGUGAGCGAUGAAGCCCUUCGGGGUGUAAAGCUCUUUCGGCAGGAACGAUAAUGACGGUACCUGAAGAAGAAGCUGCGGCUAACUACGUGCCAGCAGCCGCGGUAAUACGUAGGCAGCAAGCGUUGUUCGGAGUUACUGGGCGUAAAGAGUGUGUAGGCGGUGUUCUAAGUUCGGUGUGAAAUCUCCCGGCUCAACUGGGAGGGUGCGCCGAAAACUGGAAUGCUCGAGUGUGGGAGAGGAAAGCGGAAUUCCUGGUGUAGCGGUGAAAUGCGUA